rnacentral:snRNA from 2 species
CUAGGUUUAGCUUAUCUGAUCUUGGGGAUGAAAGGUGAAGAUUAGCAUGGCCCAUGCGCAAGGAUGACACGCACAAAUCGAGAAAUUGUCCAAUUUUUU